GCUCACUUCCGAGCGAUCCCGAGAGCAGAUCGGAGGAAAAGUAUGGACCCGUUGACUCCUGGGGGAUUACCUCCUUUUACAUCCCCAGGAAAUUGUACCUGGACUUGAGUUUUUAAGGACGUGGAGAUGAUGAAUAUGGAUGAGCCCUAUGUGACAUGCGGAAGAGCGGAAGUUACCGGAAGUUGACGAGAUUGCGCAGUUUUAUCAUUCUUAAGACCUUUUCUUUAGUUCCUGAUUCAAUAUUUAUUUUUGGAUGGAGAGCCGCGUUUAGACGAGUUGAAAGGGAUUUUGGGAAUUUCAAUCCCCUGGGGAUGAUGUUGUUUGUCAAUGGGAGAAUUUUUUUGAACGAGGAAAUUAAUUCUCUUGGAGAUUGGAAAGGUUUUAGAUCAGUUGAUUCUUUUCUCAAUCUCUCGGAGAAUGCAAAAUACAAACGAACGUCAUUCGAAUUUUCAUUAUGCAAUUUUCCAGAAUUUUCUUCAUUGCAUUAAAUCAAGUACAAGUCAAGAAUUCCUGCAAAUAUAAUUGAAACUUGAAGUAAAAUCCAUCAGACGUAUUGAGGCAGGGUUUAAAAAUUGAUAGGCUGCACAUCCCAGUUUCUGAACGCAUGAAAAAAAUUUUAUAUCUCUGAAUGACUAAAUUAUCAUCAAAUCCGGCAAAAUUUCUCCAGGUAUUACAAAACGCUCAUCCACUGGAACACUCCCCUCAAAUAAAUCGUACUCCAAUUUAUAUCCCAGUUUCUCUAUGUAUUUUCAACAAAAAUUAAAGUGAUUAUUCGAUAAUAUGGAUUGAUAAUAUUUCAUACAAUAAUAAUAUAAUAAUUAUAAUAGUCAUCCCUCAGUCAGUUGAACGGGAAUAAUGCACAAACACAUUUGAAAUCAUAAGUCAUUAAUUUCUGCUCCUCGUUAAAUAAAAAAAAAUUAUAAUAAACGAAAUUGACACACCUAUUCUCCACUCCAUUCACUCUACACUCUUCAUGUGAUAUCUCUUCAACGUGGAUGCGUAUACGGGUGCGUUUCUCCCACCUCUGUUCAUAAAUUCAUGUGACUAGUUCUUUAAAAAUUUUACAUCUCUCAUUUUAUUUUUUCAAAAUAAUAACUAACAUAUGUAUUUCAACUCAUUAUUCCUAUUUACAUAUGUAUAUUACUUUUUUCAUUUAAUGUUAUAUAAAACUCUUCUCACUUUCACUAUGAAAAAAUCAUUGUCUCUACCUGGAAUGAUAAUCCUGAAGGGAAAAAGAAAAGCAACCCCUGUCAAUUGAUGCCAGAAUAAUCGAUAAAUGAAUAAAUAUUUUGUUGAUAAUGAAGGCUCAUAGAGAAAGUUUUUCAUUAAAAAAUUUUGCGUAUCAAUUGUGUCGAGAUAAGGCCACUAGUGGAUGAUACGAAUACAGUACAAACAUCAGGAUCAUGUCCGUGUACUAAAUAUCUCUAAAUCGCUGACAUCACGUCCUUGAACGAAAAACACAAAGUUCUACUCCGUAUAAAAGAGAAUAAAAUCACGCAACACAUCUCUGCAACCUUCUCUUUCUUCUUUUUAAUCCCUUGUUUCUCCCAAUUAAAAGAGAAUUUACUCGCAUUAUUGUCACAGGCUUGUGCUGCCAAAUAUCCUAUCCUAUCCUGAGAACAUCAUCUCAGAGAUAUUCUAUCAGUGCUACCCUCGAUUCAGGCAUUCGUAAAAGCCAUAACUUCAGACCCUCAGUUCAUUGAUCUCACGGUAAUAUGAAUCUAAAAAAAUGUACGACACGCACUUUCAGAGAAUAGUCUUCAGUUAUACGAAAAAAAAAA